GUGACUGGAAGCCAUUCUACUAUUAGAUCUGAGAGAAAAGUGCAUUAUUAAAAAACUGAUGACAAAGAGAUGAUUUUUGGGGAGUUGUAUUCAUGGCAUCUAUGUCCUGGUUUCCAGGGCAAGGUUUAAUGAGACCUAUUCAUCAAAAUCCCAUGUAUGAAGGCUGCAGACAAGCUGUGAUAAGUGGGGCAAUAGAAGACUCUUGGGGAAAGAUUGUGCUAUUCAAAUCCUUCUGUGGUUCCUCUUCUGAAGAACUCACAGAACUUCAGCUGCUCGGUGCCUUUUCUGCAGCUUUUAAAUCAGCUCUCCGCUUGGAAGCAAGACAAGAUCGCUCAUCUCUGUGCUGGUGAUUGCUUUGGAGAUAUUGUAGUCCCACACUUAAAAUAUGAAAUUUAUUUGAUUAUAAAGGAUAUUAUUAUAUAUGCAUACCUAUGUAGAUAUAUGCUAGGUAAACAUUCCUUUUCCCUGCUUGAGAGAAUUUAAUAAUUACCAGAUGAGAAUGAUACCAUGCAUUUCUUUCAUUAUUAACAUUCAAAUAGUGUAGCUCUGAUUUAAUGUUCUAAGAUAUCUUUUUGUUCUUUGCCUUUUCCUAGGCUGACAAUACAAAGUAAAAUCACUUCUUAAAUCUUAAAGCCUUGUGAAUCUUAAUUUUAACUGUCUUCCAUAGUUCUGAGAGGGAGGGAAUGAGCAUUUCAUUUUACUGAGGCUUUAUUGUUGACUCUUAAAACAGAAGACAGAAGCUUGCUACAGCGUUACCCAGAUGUAUUUAGCUUUGACUUAUAAGUCCAAACCCAG
rnacentral:lncRNA from 1 species